AUUGAACGCUAGCGGGAUGCUUAACACAUGCAAGUCGAACGAGUGGCGGACGGGUGAGUAAUAUCUCGGAAAGUGCCCAGUUGCGGGGGAUAACUACUCGAAACAGUGGCUAAUACAGCAUACUAUUGGAGCGGCCGAUAUGGGCUGAGCUAGUUGGGGGGGUAAAGGCUCACCAAGGACACGAUCCGUAGCUGGUUUGAGAGGACGAACAGCAACACUGGAACUGAGACACGGCCCAGACUCCUACGGGAGGCAGCAGUGGGGAAUUUUGGACAAUGGGGGAAACCCUGAUCCAGCCAUCCCGCGUGUAUGAGAAGGCCUUCGGGUUGUAAAGUACUUUGGGCAGAGAAGCGGUAUCUGCAGAAUAAGCACCGGCUAACUACGUGCCAGCCGCCGCGGUAAUAC
rnacentral:rRNA from 1 species